CCAACAGUUUCAGGAUUGUUGAGCUCCAUUGGCGGGAUUUCGCCGUCUUCGUUUCUCUUUCUUCGCGGACGAACACGCGCCAGGGGCUGAGCGCUGUGCGAUGCAUCGACUUCACGUCGGUUGCGCGCCGGCAUGUCUCUCGUGUUAGGGGCUUGUAGCUCAGUUGGUUAGAGCGCGCGCUUGAUAAGCGUGAGGUCGGAAGUUCAAGUCUUCCCAGGCCCACCAUUUUGAUCGAGUGCGGAGCAUUCGUCUUCUGGUACGGGGCCAUAGCUCAGCUGGGAGAGCGCGUGCUUUGCAAGCAUGAGGUCGUCGGUUCGAUCCCGUCUGGCUCCACCAGAUGGAAUUGAAGCUCGAGAAUGCCUCGUCAAAUUCGUCCGCGAAACAUCACUUCGCACUCAUUGGUCCGGAUGGACGGUGACGUGCGUGUUUUCUGACAUCGUAAAGAGGAGAUCGAUCCGAGUUUGGAUCUGCGAAGCAAUUCGCGGGUGCCAUUCCUAAUCUCCAGAUCGUUUUCGGCGCUCGUUCAUCGCAAGAUGAGCGAGUUGUAAAACGAUCUUUGUAGCGAAGCUUGACCGCCUCGCUAUCGGGCCGAUCUUACGAAGCAAGCUGGUCUUUCUAGUCAAUGUCCGGCUGUGCAAUCGCAUUCAUCGAGGAUGCGCGCCUGAGACUUCGGUCUUUAGGCAAUUACACAGACAACAUUCUGCCGAGUGUGUGGACAUUGAUAAUGAGAGCAAUCAAGUGCCUUAAGGGUGUUCGGUGGAUGCCUUGGCGCUGAGAGGCGAUGAAGGACGUGCUACGCUGCGAUAAGCC
rnacentral:misc_RNA from 1 species